rnacentral:rRNA from 1 species
AGCAGCCGCGGUAAUUCCAGCUCCAAUAGCGUAUAUUAAAGUUGUUGCAGUUAAAAAGCUCGUAGUUGAAUUUUAGGCCUGGCCGGGCGGUCCGCCUCUGGCGAGUACUGUUCUGUCGUCGGGUCUAUCCUUCUGGUGAGCCGGUAUGUUCUUAAUUGGGCGUGCCGGGGAACCAGGACCAUUACCUUGAAAAAAUUAGAGUGUUUAAAGCAGGCAUUUGCUUGAAUAGAUUAGCAUGGAAUAAUAGAAUAGGACGUUGUGGUUCUAUUUUGUUGGUUCUAGGACCACCGUAA